UACGUAGGGUGCGAGCGUUUAAUCGGAAUUACUGGGCGUAAAGCGUGCGCAGGCGGUCUGUUAAGACCGAUGUGAAAUCCCCGGGCUUAACCUGGGAACUGCAUUGGUGACUGGCAGGCUUUUGAGUGUGGCAGAGGGAGGUAGAAUUCCACGUGUAGCGGUGGAAUGCGUAGAGAUCGGGAAGAACAUCAGUGGCGAAGGCGGCCUGCUGGGCUGCUGCUGACGCUGAGGCGCGACAGCGUGGGGAGCAAACAGG
rnacentral:rRNA from 1 species